GUGCCAGCAGCCGCGGUAAAACGUAGGAGACAAACGUUAUCCGGAGUUACUGGGCGUAAAGGGCGUGCAGGCGGUUCGCUAAGUCUGGCGUGAAAUAUUUCGGCUUAACCGGGAUAUGUCGUCGGAGACUGGCGGACUAGAGGGUGAUAGAGGCGUGUGGAAUUCCGGGUGUAGUGGUGAAAUGCGUAGAGAUCCGGAGGAACACCAGUGGCGAAGGCGACACGCUGGGUCAUACCUGACGCUAAUACGCGACAGCAUGGGGAGCGAACGGGAUUAGAAACCCGCGUAGUCC
rnacentral:rRNA from 1 species